rnacentral:ncRNA from 1 species
UACUGGUCAUCACAUCUACAAAGUUGACCUGCUGUUCGCAGAUAAUGCGUGUAAUACGAUCCCGAUCCUCGUUGGUCAACAGGUUGAUAUAGUUAUGCGCCAGUUCAUUACUCAGGAUGUUGGUACCAUCACUGAUGCGCAGAAUGCAGAUACCCACCGGCGCCGAAGCCACGAUUUUGCGGUUGAACUGUUCAUGCUCCUCCAACCGGAAGGCAUUCUCUUCCGCUGGCAGGAACAUUUUGCGUUCGAACAACCACGCCAGGCUGAACAACACCACUGCCGACAACAGGUUAAGCAGCACCGCAUUGAGGAUCAGUACCUUGAAGCGCUCCACCACGCUCUUCACCGGCAAUGAAUACACGAUGCUGAGCGACGAAGGAGGCAGCGCCUUCUUCAUGAUUAGAUCCUGGUAACUGUCGACAUAGCCAAAAUAGGUGUGUUCCUGCGGAUAAACAUUGAGCGAAGAGGCGUAGCGAUCGCCAUUGG